rnacentral:rRNA from 1 species
AUUGAACGCUGGCGGCAGGCCUAACACAUGCAAGUCGAGCGGCAGCGGGAAAGUAGCUUGCUACUUUUGCCGGCGAGCGGCGGACGGGUGAGUAAUGCCUGGGAAAUUGCCCAGUCGAGGGGGAUAACAGUUGGAAACGACUGCUAAUACCGCAUACACCCUACGGGGGAAAGCAGGGGACCUUCGGGCCUUGCGCGAUUGGAUAUGCCCAGGUGGGAUUAGCUAGUUGGUGAGGUAAUGGCUCACCAAGGCGACGAUCCCUAGCUGGUCUGAGAGGAUGAUCAGCCACACUGGAACUGAGACACGGUCCAGACUCCUACGGGAGGCAGCAGUGGGGAAUAUUGCACAAUGGGGGAAACCCUGAUGCAGCCAUGCCGCGUGUGUGAAGAAGGCCUUCGGGUUGUAAAGCACUUUCAGCGAGGAGGAAAGGUUGAUGCCUAAUACGUAUCAACUGUGACGUUACUCGCAGAAGAAGCACCGGCUAACUCCGUGCCAGCCGCCGCAGUAAAAC